UACGUAGGGUGCAAGCGUUAUCCGGAAUUAUUGGGCGUAAAGAGUUCGUAGGUGGUUUGGAAAGUUUGUAGUUAAAUCUGGUCGCUCAACGAUCAACUCGCUACAAAAACUCCCUUACUUGAGAUUGGCAGAGGCAACUGGAAUUCCACAUGUAGGGGUAAAAUCCGUUGAUAUGUGGAGGAACACCAAAAGCGAAGGCAGGUUGCUGGGCCAUUUCUGACACUGAGGAACGAAAGCGUGGGGAGCAAACAGG
rnacentral:rRNA from 1 species